AUCUGGUUGAUCCUGCCAGUAGUCAUAUGCUUGUCUCAAAGAUUAAGCCAUGCAUGUCUAAGUAUAAGCAAUUAUACAGUGAAACUGCGAAUGGCUCAUUAAAUCAGUUAUCGUUUAUUUGAUAGUUCCUUUUACUACAAGGAUAACCGUGGUAAAUCUAGAGCUAAUACUUGCUAAAAAGCCCGACCUCACGGAAGGGUUGUAUUUAUUAGAUAAAAAAUCAUCGCCUUCGGGCUGCUUGGUGAUUCAUAAUAACUUUUCGAAGCGCAUGGCUUUAGUGCUGGCGCUGGUUCAUUCAAAUUUCUGCCCUAUCAACUUUCGAUGGUAGGAUAGUGGCCUACCAUGGUUUCAACGGGUGACGGGGAAUUAGGGUUCGAUUCCGGAGAGGGAGCCUGAGAAACGGCUACCACAUCCAAGGAAGGCAGCAGGCGCGCGAAUUACCCAAUCCUAAUACAGGGAGGUAGUGACAAUAUGUAACAAUGCGGGGCCCUUUUUGGGUCUUGCAAUUGAAAUGAGUACAACGUAAAUACCUUAACGAGAACAAUUGGAGGGCAAGUCUGGUGCCAGCAGCCGCGGUAAUUCCAGCUCCAAUAGCGUAUAUUAAAGUUGUUGCAGUUAAAAAGCUCGUAGUUGAACCUUGGGCUUGAUCGACCGGUCCACUUUUUUGUGAGUACUGACUCGAAUCGAGCCUUUCCUUCUGGGGUAACCUUCCUUCGGGUGCGAACCAGGACCUUUACCUUUGAAAAAAUUAGAGUGUUCAAAGCAGGCCAUUGCUCGAAUAUAUCAGCAUGGAAUAAUAGAAUAGGACCGUUAUGGUUCUAUUUGUUGGUUUCUAGGACCAUCGUAAUGAUUAAUAGGGACGGUCGGGGGCAUCAGUAUUCAGUUGUCAGAGGUGAAAUUCUUGGAUUUACUGAAGACUAACUACUGCGAAAGCAUUUGCCAAGGACGUUUUCAUUAAUCAAGAACGAAAGUUAGGGGAUCGAAGAUGAUCAGAUACCGUCGUAGUCUUAACCAUAAACUAUGCCGACUAGGGAUCGGGCGUUGUUCUUUUUAUGACUCGCUCGGCACCUUACGAGAAAUCAAAGUUUUUGGGUUCUGGGGGGAGUAUGGUCGCAAGGCUGAAACUUAAAGGAAUUGACGGAAGGGCACCACCAGGAAGUUGGACUGCGCCUUAAUUUGACUCAACACGGGGAAACUCACCAGGUCCAGACACAAUAAGGAUUGACAGAUUGAGAGCUCUUUCUUGAUUUUGUGGGUGGUGGUGCAUGGCCGUCCUAGUUGGUGGAGUGAUUUGUCUGCCUAAUUGCGAUAACGAACGAGACCUUAACCUACUAAAUAGUGCUGUUAGCUUCGGCUGAACUGGCACUUCUUAGAGGGACUAUCGAUUUCAAGUCGAUGGAAGUUUGAGGCAAUAACAGGUCUGUGAUGCCCUUAGACGUUCUGGGCCGCACGCGCGCUACACUGACGGAGCCAGCAAGUCUAUCCUUGGCCGAAAGGUCCGGGUAAUCUCGUGAAACUCCGUCGUGCUGGGGAUAGAGCAUUGAAAUUAUUGCUCUUCAACGAGGAAUUCCUAGUAAGCGCAAGUCACUAGCUUGCGUUGAUUACGUCCCUGCCCUUUGUACACACCGCCCGUCGCUACUACCGAUUGAAUGGCUUAGUGAGGCUUCCGGAUUGGCUCAGAAAAGGGGGCAACUCCAUUUCAGAGCUGAGAAGCUAGUCAAACUUGGUCAUUUAGAGGAAGUAAAAGUCGUAACAAGGUUUCCGUAGGUGAACCUGCGGA
rnacentral:rRNA from 1 species